CUAGAAGUUACUUGGAGCCUGCCGUGAUCCACAAAUGGCAUGCGUUCCAGGAAUCUGAAUUUGAGCACCUGAGGCAGAGACCAGUCAAAAUUGGUGGUGACAUGAGGGCAGACUCACCAGGCCACUCAGCAAAAUACGGUAGCUACAGUCUGAUGAACCUGGAAAACAACAACAUCAUUGACAUUCAACUUGUGCAGAGCAAUGAGGUUGGCGGGAGUCACAAUAUGGAAAAAGAGGGG